CGAAAGCCUGACGGAGCAAGACCGCGUGAGGGAGGAAGGCUCUUGGGUCGUAAACCUCUUUUGUCAGGGAAGAACACAAUGACGGUACCUGACGAAUCAGCCUCGGCUAACUCCGUGCCAGCAGCCGCGGUAAUACGGAGGAGGCAAGCGUUAUCCGGAAUUAUUGGGCGUAAAGCGUCCGUAGAUGGUCGUUCAAGUCUGCUGUCAAAGACCGGGACUUAACCCCAGAAAGGCAGUGGAAACUGAACAGCUAGAGAGAGGUAGGGGUAGAGGGAAUUCCCAGUGUAGCGGUGAAAUGCGUAGAUAUUGGGAAGAACAUCAGUGGCGAAAGCGCUCUACUGGACCUUAUCUGACAUUGAGGGACGAAAGCUAGGGGAGCG
rnacentral:rRNA from 1 species